rnacentral:misc_RNA from 1 species
UCCGGUUUGUCACCGGCAGUCUCCCAUGAGUCCCCAACUUAAUGAUGGCAACACACCACGGGGGUUGCGCUCGUUGCGGGACUUAACCCAACAUCUCACGACACGAGCUGACGACAGCCAUGCAGCAUCUGUGGUGCACCCUCGAAGGUCACACAUUUCUGUGCGCUUGCAGCACCAUGUCAAGUCCAGGUAAGGUUCUUCGCGUUGCAUCGAAUUAAAGAACAUGCUCCGCUGCUUGUGCAGGCCCCCGUCAAUUCUUUUGAGUUUUAGCCUUGCGGCCGUACUCCCCAGGCGGGACACUUAACGCGUUGGCUUCGGCACAGACAGAUUCGACUCCGCCCACACCUAGUGUUCAUCGUCUACGGCGUGGACUAC